AUUGAACGCUGGCGGAAUGCUUUACACAUGCAAGUCGAGCGGCAGCGCGGGGCAACCUGGCGGCGAGCGGCGAACGGGUGAGUAAUACAUCGGAACGUACCCAGUUGUGGGGGAUAGCCCGGCGAAAGCCGGAUUAAUACCGCAUACGACCUGAGGGUGAAAGGGGGGGAUCGCAAGACCUCUCGCAGUUGGAGCGGCCGAUGGCGGAUUAGCUAGUUGGUAGGGUAAAGGCCUACCAAGGCGACGAUCCGUAGCUGGUCUGAGAGGACGACCAGCCACACUGGAACUGAGACACGGUCCAGACUCCUACGGGAGGCAGCAGUGGGGAAUUUUGGACAAUGGGGGCAACCCUGAUCCAGCCAUUCCGCGUGAGUGAAGAAGGCC
rnacentral:rRNA from 1 species